rnacentral:rRNA from 1 species
UAUCCUACGGGGGGCAGCAGUGGGGGAUAUUGCACAAUGGGGGGAACCCUGAUGCAGCGACGCCGCGUGGGUGAAGAAGCGCCUCGGCGCGUAAAGCCCUGUCAGCAGGGAAGAAAAUGACGGUACCCGAAGAAGAAGCCCCGGCUAACUACGUGCCAGCAGCCGCGGUAAUACGUAGGGGGCAAGCGUUAUCCGGAUUUACUGGGUGUAAAGGGUGCGUAGGCGGCUUGGCAAGUCAGUAGUGAAAUCCAUGGGCUUAACCCAUGAACUGCUAUUGAAACUGUCGAGCUUGAGUGCAGU